GUUUGACCAUGUCCUGGAUGUAAGCUGGACCCGAUCCAUUCACAGCAUGGUACGUUUACGUAAACGAUUAGAUCUGCGACUUGAUGCGCGUGGUGAGCAGCAAACUACCUCAUGCUGUACAGUACAUCAGCAGCUGGACCAUGUGUGUCAUCCAUACGGGAAUAAGGGAGAAAGAGAGACGGAGCCGAAAGAAAGGGAAUGGUGAUGGUCGGUUCGUCAUGUUCCUCCUCCUCCGCCUUCUAUUCCUCCACCUACGCAAUGGACGCUCAGUCAGGCAACUCCCAAGAAGUAAUGACAUGACCAACAACA
ensembl:lncRNA